GUUUGAUCAUGGCUCAGGGUGAACGCUGGCGGCGUGGAUAAGGCAUGCAAGUCGAAUGGGUUUAGACCCACGGCAGACGAGGUAGUAACACGUAGGUACGUACCCCAAAGUCGGGCAUAACCGGCCGAAAGAUCGGAUAAUUCCCGAUAGUCCCGCAAGGGUAAAGAUUUAUCGCUUUGGGAGCGGCCUGCGUCGUAUCAGCUUGUUGGUGAGGUAAUGGCUCACCAAGGCAAUGACGCGUAGGGGAGCUGAGAGGCUGACCCCCACCGAUGGAACUGCGACACGGUCCAUACUCCUACGGGAGGCUGCAGCCGAGAAUAUUCCGCAAUGGACGAAAGUCUGACGGAGCGACGCCGCGUGAACGACGAAGGUCUUCGGAUCGUAAAGUUCUUUUAUGGGGGAGGAAAUUUUGACGUUACCCCAUGAAUAAGAGGCUCCUAACUCUGUGCCAGCAGGAGCGGUCAUACAGAGGCCUCAAGCGUUACCCGGAAUCACUGGGCGUAAAGGGUGUGUAGGUGGUGGUAUUAGUCUUCUGUUAAAUACCGAGGCUUAACCUCGGAAGUGCGGAGGAAACGGUACCACUAGAGGGUGAGAGAGGUGUACGGAACUCAUGGUGUAGGGGUGAAAUCCGUUGAUAUCAUGGGGAACACCAAAGGCGAAGGCAGUACACUGGCUCAUUCCUGACACUGAGACACGAAAGCGUGGGUAGCGAAUGGGAUUAGAUACCCCAGUAGUCCACGCCCUAAACGAUCCUAACUGGCCUUGAGGAGUAUCGACCCUCUUCGAGGCGAAGCAAACGCGUUAAGUUAGGCGCCUGGGUAGUACGAGCGCAAGCUUAAAACUCAAAGGAAUUGACGG
rnacentral:rRNA from 1 species